rnacentral:rRNA from 1 species
AACGAACGCUGGCGGCAUGCCUAACACAUGCAAGUCGAACGAGACCUUCGGGUCUAGUGGCGCACGGGUGCGUAACGCGUGGGAACCUGCCCUUAGGUUCGGAAUAACUCCCCGAAAGGGGUGCUAAUACCGGAUAAUGUCUUCGGACCAAAGAUUUAUCGCCUUUGGAUGGGCCCGCGUUGGAUUAGCUAGUUGGUAGGGUAAAAGCCUACCAAGGCGACGAUCCAUAGCUGGUCUGAGAGGAUGAUCAGCCACACUGGGACUGAGACACGGCCCAGACUCCUACGGGAGGCAGCAGUGGGGAAUAUUGGACAAUGGGCGAAAGCCUGAUCCAGCAGUGCCGCGUGAGUGAUGAAGGUCUUAGGGUUGUAAAGCUCUUAUACCCGGGAUGUUACUGUCAGUACCGAGAAAGUACGCUCCAGCUACCUC